GAGGGGGUGCAAACGUUAUUCGGAUUUACUGGGUGUAAAGGGUGUGUAGACGGGUUGUUAAGGCUCGUUGUUAAAUCUUCCGGGCCUAACCGGGAAGCUCGCGAUGGAAACUGGCAGUCUAGAGGAUGGAAGAGAGAAGUGGAAUUCUCGGAGUAGCGGUAAAAUGCGUAGAUCUCGAGAGGAACACCGAUGGCGAAGGCAGCUUCUUGGUCCAUUCCUGACGUUGAGACACGAAAGCGUGGGGAGCAAACAGGAUUAGAUACCCUGGUAGUCCACGCUGUAAACGAUGAUCACUAGAUGUUGGCCCUGUUUUGCAGGGUUAGUAUCGAAGCUAACGCGUUAAGUGAUCCACCUGGGAACUACGAUCGCAAAGAUUAA
rnacentral:rRNA from 1 species